AUUGAACGCUGGCGGCAGGCCUAACACAUGCAAGUCGUACGAGUGGCGGACGGGUGAGUAAUGUCGGGGAAACUGCCUGAUGGAGGGGGAAAACUACUGGAAACGGUAGCUAAUACCGCAUACUAUCAGAUGUGCACAGAUGGGAUUAGCGUGUAGGUGGGGUAACGGCUCACCAAGGCGACGAUCCAUAGCUGGUCUGAGAGGAUGACCAGCCACCCUGGGACUGAGACGCGGUCCAGACUCCUACGGGAGGCAGCAGUGGGGAAUAUGGCGCAAUGGGCGCAAGCCUGAUGCAGCCAGGCCGCGUGUAUGAAGAAGGCCUUCGGGUUGUAAAGUACUUUCAGCCGGGAGGCGUUACCCGCAGAAGAAGCACCGGCUAACUCCGUGCCAGCAGCCGCGGUAAUUC
rnacentral:rRNA from 1 species